rnacentral:rRNA from 1 species
GGAGGGGGCCAGCGUUGUUCGGAAUUAUUGGGCGUAAAGGGCGCGCAGGCGGUUGUGCAAGUCAGUUGUGAAAUCCCCUGGCUCACCCAGGGAACUGCUUCUGAAACUGCAUGACUUGAGUCCGGGAGAGGAGAGUGGAAUUCCCAGUGUAGCGGUGGAAUGCGUAGAUAUUGGGAGGAACACCAGUGGCGAAGGCGGCUCUCUGGACCGGUACUGACGCUGAGGCGCGAAAGCUAGGGGGAGCAAACAGGAUUAGAUACCCUGGUAGUCCUAGCUGUAAACGAUGGGCACUUGGUGUUGCGGGUAUUGACCCCUGCAGUGCCGUAGCUAACGCGAUAAGUGCCCCCGCCUGGGAGUACGGUCGCAAGGCUG